rnacentral:rRNA from 1 species
GAUGAACGCUGGCGGCGUGCCUAAUACAUGCAAGUCGAGCGAACAGACGAGGAGCUUGCUCCUCUGACGUUAGCGGCGGACGGGUGAGUAACACGUGGGUAACCUACCUAUAAGACUGGGAUAACUUCGGGAAACCGGAGCUAAUACCGGAUAAUAUAUUGAACCGCAUGGUUCAAUAGUGAAAGACGGCUUUGCUGUCACUUAUAGAUGGAUCCGCGCCGCAUUAGCUAGUUGGUAAGGUAACGGCUUACCAAGGCGACGAUGCGUAGCCGACCUGAGAGGGUGAUCGGCCACACUGGAACUGAGACACGGUCCAGACUCCUACGGGAGGCAGCAGUAGGGAAUCUUCCGCAAUGGGCGAAAGCCUGACGGAGCAACGCCGCGUGAGUGAUGAAGGUCUUCGGAUCGUAAAACUCUGUUAUUAGGGAAGAACAAAUGUGUAAGUAACUAUGCACGUCUUGACGGUACCUAAUCAGAAAGCCACGGCUAACUACGUG